GCUGAGAUGGCCUAGUGGUUAAGGCAUUGGAUUCAAAAUCCAAUGUGUUUUACCUGUACAGGUUCAAAUCCCGUUCACAGUG
rnacentral:tRNA from 1 species